rnacentral:rRNA from 1 species
CUUGGAGGAAUGUAUGGCAAUAGCUAGUUGCACUAAAAGUUUUAGUGUAAAAUCGACUAUGUUGAAUAAAAUUCUGGGUAGAAUUAUGAUAAUGACAUUAUCUGCUCAUAAGUCUUGACCAAAUUACGUGCCAGCAGUCGCGGUAAUACGUAGAAGACAAGUGUUAUUCAUCUUUAAUAGGUUUAAAGGGUACUUAGACGGUAAAUCAAGCCUCUAAAAGGGACUAAUUUGCUAGAGUUUUAUGUGAAAGAGUAUUAAAGUACUGCUGGUGUAGAGAUGAAAUUCUGUAAUACCUUGAAUGGCACAGGUUAAGGCGAAAGCAUCUUUUUAUGUAAAAACUGACGUUGAAGGACGAAGGCUUUGUGUCUCGAACAGGAUUAGAUACCCUAGUAGUCUAAGCAGACAAUGAUGAAUGUCAUAGAUUAGAUAUAAUUUGAUCUAUAAAUGAAAGUGUAAGCAUUCCACCUCAAGAGUAAUUUGGCAACAUUGGAACUGAAAUCAUUAGACCGUUUCUGAAACCAGUAGUGAAGUAUGUUGUUUAAUUUGAUGAUCCGCAAAAAACCUUACCACAAUUUGAAUAGAUAUAUUAUAUCAUACAAGCGUUGCACGGCUGUCUUCAGUUAAUGUCGUGAGACUUUGGUUAGUUCCAUAAAAUUAACGUAAACCCUUACUUUAUUUUUAUAUAAAGUAGUUCACCGCUAUAUUGGAUGUGAUAAUAGGGAUCAAGACAAGUCAUCAUGACC